rnacentral:rRNA from 1 species
AUCAGCCUUUUGGGUGCGAUUCUGUGGAGUUUGAGGAGCUUAACACCUUCAUGCUUUGCAUAUUCGUGCACUUUGGGUGUACUUGCCCGUAUGGUUGGUUAACAUCAAUUUUGGUGGUCAUAAAAUGACUGGAGGAAUGUAGCUUCGAUCUCGUAUUGAAGUGUUAUAGCCUUCGGUAGUUGUGAUGAUCGAGAUUGAGGAUUGCAACGGAUACCUUUCGGGGCUACCUGUCUGAUCUCUGAUCGUUGCUUUGGUGCUGAAAGCGUGCUUAUAGUUAUCAAAGUCGAUGGUCAAUAGGUUAGAACGGGUUAAAUUCGUUAAGGAUGUUGACGUAAUGGCUUU